rnacentral:rRNA from 1 species
UACAGAGGUCUCAAGCGUUGUUCGGAUUCAUUGGGCGUAAAGAGCUCGUAGGCGGUUUCGUAAGUCGGAUGUGAAAACUCCAGCUCAACUUGGAGACGCCAUUCGAUACUGCGAUGACUUGAGUCCGGUAGGGGAGUGUGGAAUUCCUGGUGUAGCGGUGAAAUGCGCAGAUAUCAGGAGGGACACCGGCGGCGAAGGCGGCACUCUGGGGCCGGUACUGACGCUGAGGAGCGAAAGCGUGGGUAGCAAACAGG